UCCCAAAGUGCCAAGAUUGCAGCCUCUGC
rnacentral:piRNA from 1 species